CAUAGCAAUGAAUAAUUCACCCGGGCACCAUGUGUGAGAGAGGUUAAAUUACAGUGUCUUUUCACGGGGAUAUUUAAUGUAUGAUACUUAUGUAUGUCAUAAUAGUUAUUUUAUGGUCGUGAUCUCAUAACCAUGCAUCAUGUGUUAACCAUUUUAUAGAUAUUUUUCAGUGGAGGUUGGAUUAUGUUGUGUUAGUGUUCGACAUGUGUUUACUCUAACAUAGGGAUUUCCACCGAAACACAGUGUACCUUCUCAAAUCAUACAAUGUGUGUUAUCUGUGUAAUAUAUCUGGGACGUUACUUUAGGCAUUUCAUUACACGGCCUUAGAAGAAUGGACACAAACUGACACCAGGAAGGAAGACGAUGUCACUACCAUCGCAUGACUUUUUUCAGCUAUUUGUGGAAAUGUCUGAGAGUACCACGCAACAUUCAUUCUGAAGCUUCUCGGACCUGAAGCACCAAAAUGGAGUUUGUCCUUGUGUUUAGGGGAGUAUUAUUCCUGUGUUUUGUGCAUUUGAUUUUGUCUUUAAAUGGUUCAAGUCCAGUGUCGUUCAGCAGAGAAAUGAUUACGACAUUGGCGACUUCAUCCUUAUCGGAUCCUAUGUCUGAAGGAGCUUCGCCUCAACAUGACGUAACCAGUCAAAGGAUGUCGGUAACCCAAUCAGUAAUGCCAACAAGCACCCUCUCUACUGACACGAACACUGUCAACUGUGUCAACAAGCUCCCUCUUAACUACCAUGAGACACACCAGUGAUAUGUCAAGUGUGCAAUCAUCUCAAACUGCAGCGUCCUUUACGACCGUGACAUCAACGAGUGGACCUACUACUCACUCGACUGGGAAACACACCAGUGAAACGUAAAGUGUGCAAUCUUCUCACGAUACAGCGUCCUUUACGACCACUAAAUCUACGCCUGGACUAACCACUCAGUCGUCAGGGAGUAAUCGAACACAGCGGCCCACGAAAGCAAUUUUAACAACAAGAUGGGUGGUUUCACUUGCGGUGCCGUGUGCAGUGAGUUGUGUUGUUUUUGCAAUCAUCACAAUUCUUUGCAG